AUUGAACGCUGGCGGCAGGCCUAACACAUGCAAGUCGAGCGGAUGAAGGGAGCUUGCUCCUGGAUUCAGCGGCGGACGGGUGAGUAAUGCCUAGGAAUCUGCCUGGUAGUGGGGGAUAACGUCCGGAAACGGGCGCUAAUACCGCAUACGUCGUGAGGGAGCAAGUGGGGGAGCUUCGGACCUCACGCUAUCAGAUGAGCCUAGGUCGGAUUGGCUAGUUGGUGGGGUGAAGGCCUGCCAAGCCGACGAUCCGUAACUGGUCUGAGAGGAUGAUCAGUCACACUGGAACUGGGACACGGUCCAGAGGCCUACGGGAGGCAGCAGUGGGGAAUGUGGGACAAUGGGCGAAAGCCUGGUCCAGCCAUGCCGCGUGUGUGAAAAAGGUCUUCGGAUUGUAAAGCACUUUAAGUUGGGAGGAAGGGCAGUAAGUUAAUACCUUGCUGUUUUGACGUUACCAACAGAAUAAGCACCGGCUAACUUCGUG
rnacentral:rRNA from 1 species